GUCUACGGCCAUGCCACCCUGAACAAGCCCAAUCCCGUCUGAUCUCUGAAGCUAAGCAGGGUUGGGCCUGGUUAGUACUUGGAUGGGAGACCACCUAGAAAGGCCAGGUGCUAUAGGCA
rnacentral:rRNA from 1 species